rnacentral:rRNA from 1 species
UACAGGGGGUGCAAACGUUGCUCGGAAUCAUUGGGCGUAAAGGGCGCGUAGGCGGUGCGGUAAGUCACCUGUGAAAUCUCCUGGCUCAACUGGGAGCUUGCAGGCGAAACUGCCGUGCUGGAGUGUGGGAGAGGUGCGUGGAAUUCCUGGUGUAGCGGUGAAAUGCGUAGAUAUCAGGAGGAACACCUGUGGCGAAAGCGGCGCACUGGACCACAACUGACGCUGAGGCGCGAAAGCUAGGGGAGCAAACAGG